rnacentral:rRNA from 1 species
AACGAACGCUGGCGGCGUGCCUAACACAUGCAAGUCGCGCGAGAAAGUGGGGGCAACCCCGCGAGUAAAGCGGCGCACGGGUGAGUAAUACGUAGGUAACCUACCUUCGAGACCGGGAUAACCUUCCGAAAGGAGGGCUAAUACUGGAUAAGACCACGGAGCCUCGGCUCUGGGGUUAAAGGUGGCCUCUGCUCGCAAGCUACCACUAGAGGAUGGGCCUGCGCACCAUUAGCUAGUUGGUGAGGUAACGGCUCACCAAGGCGAAGAUGGUUAGCUGAUCUGAGAGGAUGAUCAGCCACACUGGGACUGAGACACGGCCCAGACUCCUACGGGAGGCAGCAGUGGGGAAUCUUGGACAAUGGGGGAAACCCUGAUCCAGCGACGCCGCGUGGGUGAUGAAGGCCUUCGGGUCGUAAAGCCCUGUCGGGGGGGAAGAAACUCUUGCCGGUGAACAAUCGGCGGGAUUGACGGUACCCCCUAAGGAAGCACCGGCUAACUCCGUGCCAGCAGCCGCGGUAACAC